GGUAUGUAUAUACCACAUAUUGUCUACCCCUUCAUCCACUGAUGGGCAUUUAGUUGUUUCCACAUCUUGGUUUUACUCUUUGAGGAACCUGCAUACUCUUUUCCACAGCAGCUGCUCCAUUUUACAUUCUCAUAAACAGUGCACAAAAGUUCCAGUUUCUCUACAUCCUCACCAAUACUUGCUGUCUUUUGAUUUUUUGGUAAUAGUCAUCCUGACAAUGUGCGUUCUGUUCAUUUUAAGUCUCUAGCAACUAAUGGGAUAUUUGAACAGGGUGUCUGAAACUUUUAGUCUAGCAGAUAGGGAAUUUCACAUUAGCAGAGUCAGAAUAUAAAAAUGUAACUUUACCUCUCUAUACAUGAUCAUAACUUCACUCUCUAGCCAUUGUUUUUCACUAAAGGCAGUGAAGAGUCUUUGGGGAUGAGGGUUCUGGCCCCGUCACUGAUGCUUUCAUUGGCCAUGAAGGCUUUGCUGGUUGUUGGUGCCAUCCAUUUCUCUGUGUUCCCUUUUCUCUUUAUGUUAGUCCCACUGGGCCCCCUCCGUUCUGACUGUGAGAGUUCUCCAGGCUUGCAGGCUUGUGCUCAGCUGUUUCAGUGCCUCUCUGGAGCAUGCACCUUGGGAAGUGCUAUGUGGGUCUCAGACCCACCCUCCUGGUGCAGGGGCCUGCUUAGGGCUGAGCCUCUUUAGGAGGACUGCACUCUGGGAAGAACCAAUGAUGUGUCUGGGAUUUCUGUUAGCUAGAUCUCUCAUAAAUUCCAAGUCUUAGUUUGGGAUGGAAAGAGGUAGAGGAUCUGGACUUUUCAGAGACUUAGUAGCAUCUUUAAAAGAAAAAUACUUAGUUCUUCCAGUGGAAAGCUGUGGGUUCCAAGAGAUAUCUGCUGUGCAUUUAUGGGCCUAUUUUAGAGCAGAAUACCAAAAUAUUCACCAUAAUUUUAAAAAUAAAUAUUAAAUAAUUAAAAAAUUGGUACAGCCUGCCAGGAGCUCAGUGUGCAAUGGUGACAUCCAGCCUGUGAGGCCACCUGGUGCGGCUUGGGAACCCGCAGAAGCCUGCACUGAAGCCCAGCAAACCCCUCAUCCUAGCUAACCGCAGCAAGGACUGGCGUCCGGAGAAGGGCGAGGCCGCUUGUAUCAUGGAGUGUCAGCUUGCUGGAAGCCGAAUGAAUUCCGCGAUGAUAUGUGCAGAAAAGAGAUCCAGGGCUUUUUCGAUUGUGCUUCAAGGGAUUAGGAAGCCUAAAAAAUGAGAUCAAUACAGGAGACCCUGGGAGAGUCUGGGAGUUUACCUCCCAAUAAAUAGAGUAAGUUGUCAUAGAGGUUUCCUAAGACACCUCACCUAAGCUUAAAAUGGAAAAGCAUUUUCAAUGAUUUCUGGACUAUAGCUUCUGACAAUUAUGCAGAGGCAUUUUAUAGAUGUUUGCAUUGCUGUGACCUCUUUGAAGGAUAAGAUGAGGAAAAACACUUUUUCUAACCUUUGGAAUCAAUAGUAUGGGUAGAAGUUAUGUUUUAUCUUGAAAUAAAAUCCUCUGAAGAGAAAAAAA